GGUUGAUCCUGCCGGAGGCCAUUGCUAUCGGGGUCCGAUUUAGCCAUGCUAGUUGUACGAGUUCAUACUCGUAGCAAAUAGCUCCGUAACACGUGGCCAAACUACCCUACAGAGAACGAUAACCUCGGGAAACUGAGGCUAAUAGUUCAUACCCGUCCCAUGUUGGAAUACAGGGACGCGCAAACGUUCCGACGCUGUAGGACGUGGCUGCGGCCGAUUAGGUAGACGGUGGGGUAACGGCCCACCGUGCCGAUAAUCGGUACGGGUUGUGAGAGCAAGAACCCGGAGACGGAAUCUGAGACAAGAUUCCGGGCCCUACGGGGCGCAGCAGGCGCGAAACCUUUACACUGCACGCAAGUGCGAUAAGGGGACCCCGAGUGCGAGGGCAUACAGUCCUAGCUUUUCACUACCGUAAGGUGGUGGUGGAAUAAGAGCUGGGCAAGACCGGUGCCAGCCGCCGCGGUAAUACCGGCAGCUCGAGUGAUGGCCGAUCUUAUUGGGCCUAAAGCGUCCGUAGCCGGCCACACAAGUCCAUCGGGAAAUCCGCCAGCCCAACUGGCGGGCGUCCGGUGGAAACUGUGUGGCUCGGGAUCGGAAGACCCAACGGGUACGUCUUGGGUAGGAGUGAAAUCCUGUAAUCCUGGACGGACCACCGAUAGCGAAAGCACGUUGGGAAGACGAAUCCGACGGUGAGGGACGAAAGCCAGGGUCUCGAACCGGAUUAGAUACCCGGGUAGUCCUGGCCGUAAACGAUGUCUGCUAGGUGUGGCUCCCACUACGAGUGGGUGCUGUGCCGUAGGGAAGCCGCUAAGCAGACCGCCUGGGAAGUACGUCCGCAAGGAUGAAACUUAAAGGAAUUGGCGGGGGAGCACUACAACCGGAGGAGCCUGCGGUUUAAUUGGACUCAACGCCGGACAUCUCACCAGCAUCGACAACAGCAAUGACGAUCAGGUUGA
rnacentral:rRNA from 1 species